UACGUAGGCAGCGAGCGUUUGUUCGGAGUUACUGGGCGUAAAGCGUGCGUAGGCGGUGUCUUAAGUUUGUUAGUCGAAAUCUCCCGGGCUUAACCGGGAGGGUGCGGCGAAUACUGAGAUGCUGGAGUGGCCGGAGAGGUAAGCGGAAUUCCUGGUGUAGCGGUGAAAUGCGUAGAUAUCGAGGAGGAACACCUGCGGUGUAGACGGCUUACUGGACGGUAACUGGACGCUGAGGCACGGAAAGCGUGGGUAGCAAACAGG
rnacentral:rRNA from 1 species